rnacentral:rRNA from 1 species
GACGAACGCUGGCGGCGUGCUUAACACAUGCAAGUCGAACGGAAAGGCCCUGCUUUUGUGGGGUGCUCGAGUGGCGAACGGGUGAGUAACACGUGAGUAACCUGCCCUUGACUUUGGGAUAACUUCAGGAAACUGGGGCUAAUACCGGAUAGGAGCUCCUGCUGCAUGGUGGGGGUUGGAAAGUUUCGGCGGUUGGGGAUGGACUCGCGGCUUAUCAGCUUGUUGGUGGGGUAGUGGCUUACCAAGGCUUUGACGGGUAGCCGGCCUGAGAGGGUGACCGGCCCCUUUGGAACGAGGUUCCGCCCCAGACUCCUCCGGGAGGCAGCAGUGGGAAUAUUGCACAAUGGGCGGAAGCCUGAUGCAGCAACGCCGCGUGCGGGAUGACGGCCUUCGGGUUGUAAACCGCUUUCGCCUGUGACGAAGCGUGAGUGACGGUAAUGGGUAAAGAAGCACCGGCUAACUACGUG